UACGAAGGGGGCUAGCGUUGCUCGGAAUUACUGGGCGUAAAGCGCACGUAGGCGGAUAUUUAAGUCAGGGGUGAAAUCCCGGGGCUCAACCUCGGAACUGCCUUUGAUACUGGGUAUCUUGAGUAUGGAAGAGGUAAGUGGAAUUGCGAGUGUAGAGGUGAAAUUCGUAGAUAUUCGCAGGAACACCAGUGGCGAAGGCGGCUUACUGGUCCAUUACUGACGCUGAGGUGCGAAAGCGUGGGGAGCAAACAGG
rnacentral:rRNA from 1 species